rnacentral:lncRNA from 10 species
CAGGCGUGGCUGAUGUGCACAGGUAGGAGCCUGUCCUCUGCGUGGCCUCUGCACUGGAAGAGCUUCAGGGCCUUUUCCUCCAGGGCUGAUGGGAUUUGUGUUUCGCCUCUGUUUGUUUUUAUGUACCUCUGUUUGGGGAAACUUUCAAGCAUGCAGAGCAACAUUCUGAUAAAUAGUGCAGUGAGGAGCUGUGCUGCAUCCUGGAGCCGAAGGUCACAAGGAAGAAACCAAAACCGUUGGGUAGGCAGAGCGACAGCCCUCUCUCGGUGCAGAAAGGUUGCAUGCCUUAAAACAGCACUUUUCAAGAUGACCAUUUGGAAGCAACAUUUGGAGAACAUUUGGGUUAUGUCCUCUAACUGAAUUUCCAAGCUGUUGGUAACGGACUAAAGAAAAUGCAGUCUGUACUGAAUACUAAGAAAGCAAGAGUGGAAGAGCCUUGAAGGUCAUGUGUAAAUAUUGACAUUUUAAUUUUAUUUAGUAUACCAAGUUGGGGCCCUUGCAUUGCUUAUCUUGCCAUAAAAACUCUUCACCCACUUGCACUGCCCUGCAGAUUGUCAGGGAAAGAUCUGAUCUGAGCAGCCGUGGCUACUCUUCCUGCCAUUGCUAACAAGACUGAAUUUUGUUUGUGCAAAAUCUGAGUCAAAGGGGUGUUCCUCCCCUCUCAUCUCCAUCACGGACUGAUGCGCCUGAUUAGAUAACAGAAAUUUGUGGGCUGAAUGUUCAUGUAGAGACAUGAAAGCCAAGAUGCAAAACCAGUCAGAGAAAACAGCCUCCCACUCACUCACAGAGUCAAGUCAGGUGUCUAAAACCAAAGUUAUUUGGGGAACCAAUAACUGGCUAAUUUGGCCAGAACACCCUUCUCUGUGUCCUCAGCAGCAGCAUGAGGAAGAAAUACCAGCAUGUCCUCAGGCCUUGUACCCUUCUUAGAAACCAGAACUCUACCUGCGGAGCUUAAUCAGGGCCACAUUCUGAAAGUGAGAUGCAGGCGACAGCCAGGUCUCUCCACCAGCAGCAGUGGUUAGAAUGCCCCACGCACUUAACAACUUCCGGGACACAUUUGACUGUUGACCUAAAACAGCACUGCUUUCCUCUGCCAAAGCAAAGAGCCUGGCUCAUGUAGAAUAGGCCAGCAGUUUGGUAACUUGCCAGAGGCUCCUGUCUCCCUACAGUGAGGUCACCAGAAUCACUUACCUCCUGAAACACAGUCGACUGAAAUGAAGGUCCAGCAGAAAUUAGGGGCCAGUGAGUUAAACAUGGAGGAACCAGGGCCACUUCAGAUGGUCUUUGGCCUAAAAGGUUUUCCCUAAGUGCAAAGAAGAAAAUUGAAUGUGGGAAAAAAAUGAUCUUUUAAUGCUUCAUAACUCAACUCUCUGACUUACCUCAAAAAGAGAGAAAUAGUGUAAAAAGCCAACACCAUUUUCUGCCCUCUACAUUUGGGUUUCAAAAGGUGUUCCUCAAACAAUGAUCUGGCUUCCAUGCCAAAAUAAAUGUCAUGAUUUACACCUCAUGCUUAUGUUUGCAAUCCUAAUCACCCUUCCCUAUGCCAGCUUUAUAAGUCUUGCUCAGUUCCACUAUUGAAAUAGUACACUUGGAUUCAAACAACACUCAAAACCCUUGUUUUUUGUUUUGUUUCAUUUUUAACUAUUACUGAGUGGUAGGGUCAAUCCCAUUCAAAAUUCCCAAGUAGACAAAAUCUGUGUCUGUGGCCCUUCCCCUUCCCCUCACCUUCUUGGCAGCCUCCCUCCAUUCCCACUGAUGAACUUCCAAGCUUCCUGCAGCUCCACUAGUCCUUUUCAACCAAAGGAAAACAAAGCAGUUUCCUACAUUAGCGUAUCUGCCUUUGUAAAGUAGUUUAGUGUUUUGCACAAACCAAGAGAAUGUUCAUUUUAAAAGCAGGAAAGAAAGCCAAAGGAAUGAACCAUUACAGAUGGAGUGUCAGACACCAUGGCACCUGGAUAAAAUAUAAUUUGGGGCAGGGGAGUAUAUUCUCAUCGUCCCUAAAGUAGAUGAACCAGUCAAGUCAGUACCCAUAAGGCAGGCUUGAUAAAUCUCAGGACCAGGCCCCUCCACCCGCAACAAACACACAUACACCUCUCCAUUGUGAUGUUUUAGGCGCAGUGUAUAGUAGCUCUGCCUAUCUACCCAGAACCUAAUGUAUUCACCUGAAAGUAAACUAACAGAGUCUGGCUGUCCUGGUGAUUCUCAAGACCCUAUUGCCUCCUCACUUACCCAAAGGAAAGGAGCAGUAGUUUUUUUAAAAAUUCAAGAAAUCAGUUAAAAAAAAUAUGUUAGUGUUUCUCUGAAACAUCUAAGUUAGCGUGGCACAAUUCAUUUUAUUUAUAAAGAAUUUGAUUAACUCUGGUUAGCCCAGAUUUGCUUCAGCCUGAAGCCCAACAUCUCCUUUGCAGUGUGGUAUCCUUCAGUUGCUCAUUACUUGAGCCAACAGAGGCGGGAGGGGAGAUGGAGAAAACUGGUUUUAUUUGAGCUUGUGAAAAUGCCUUUUUGUCAAGUUCAAUGUCAUAAGUUUUCUUCCACAAGAAAGUAGAAUAUACUUUCUGGUGAGCAAUAGUUCUUUAUUGUAUAGAAAUGGUUCCUAAUUCUCAGCAGAUAGAGAUUUGAGAAAACAGGGGAGUUCUCCCAAGUCACAAAGAAUAAUGUGAUGGUCAACGUGAUAGAC